rnacentral:rRNA from 1 species
AACGAACGCUGGCGGCAUGCCUAACACAUGCAAGUCGAACGAGACCUUCGGGUCUAGUGGCGCACGGGUGCGUAACGCGUGGGAACGUGCCCUUAGGUUCGGAAUAACUCCCCGAAAGGGGUGCUAAUACCGGAUAACGUCUUCGGACCCAAGAUAUAACGCCGUUGGAUGGGCCGGCGUUGGUCUAGCUGGUUGGUAGUGUAAAAGCCUACCAAGGAGACGAUCCAUAGCGGGUCAGAGAGGAUGGUCAGCCACACUGGGACUGAGACGCGGCCCAGACUCCUACACGAGGCGGCAGUGGGGAAUACUGGACAACCGGCGAAAGCCUGAUCCAGCACUGCCGCGUAAGUCAUGAAGUCCGUAGAGUAGUAAAGCUCGUUUACCCGGGACGAUAAUGACGGUACCGGGAGAAUAAGCUCCGGCUAACUCCGUG